GCUUGAUCUUGGACAUAAGAAGAGCCCUGCUGGAUUAAAACGAGGAUCCAUCUGGUCCAGCACUCUGUUCACACACUUGCUUUCAUAAGUGGAUGCCCAUGAAAAGCUUACAUCUUAAUCAGGGGAGGCUGUACAAGUCCUGGAUCAGUGCUGAAGCUGGAUGAGGGUCAAUAAACUGAAGCUGAAUCCUGGCAAGACAGAAGCCCUGUGGCUGUUCCGAGAACCUCCCUGCCCUGCUUGAACAUCAACUGAAAGGGUCUCUUGCCCUCUGUGUCAGUCUCAGACCUUCAGACUGGAAGUUUACAAUCCUGACUGUCGGCCGUGUGGAUGAGAUGCUUCCAAAGGCUGCUGCUGCUGCUGCUGCUGUCAUUGUGGUUAUGAUUUUAACAAACGCUUGUUAGCUUCCUUGAACCAUGAAACAAGUGAGAUGUUGAAAAAGCUUUUCAACAUGAUCAUUAUCUGAGAAGAGGAAUGUAUUUCCAAGAGUCGUUAUGAACUCCUCAUCGAAUGCUUCGGCUGCAGCUCAUGCCAACUAUCUAAUAUACCUGCCCUUAUAUUACUGAUGAAUAACGAUAUUGAAAGGCGACAAAAGGAUCCAAACAGCUUCAAUAUUUUCAAUUUUGUCGACUGGAAAAUUACACCAAAGUGCCUCCUGACAAGGUCAUGGAAAUAACAUAGAAUCCAAGAACAGAAGAAGUGAGGGCUGGAUUAUGUUUGACGAUCAUCUAUCUAUGGUUGCAGUCAAUGCAGAAGACCAGUUAUUGUAUGGUUGGGUCAUUUCAAGCAACCUUUGCUUUGCCAUCCAGAACUCGGUCUGUCAACAAUGGAAAUGGAGUUCAAGGGUUUUGAUGAAGUUAAGGCAACUCUGGAAGAGUGGGAUAGACACCCAUAGGACCUGGGUCUCCUUUCAUCUGGAGAGCUAGGAACAGGACAGAGGAGGUAGGGAUGUUGCAAGCACUCAACUGGAUCCAGGAGUCCAGCAGACACGCCUAUGUCUGCCCCUGAUCCAUUCAGGUGUUUCUGGGGAGAAUCCAGACCCUGCUUGGGCACGCACGAGGCCCCUAGAGUGCUUGCCAGCCAGCCAUCCUCACACCAAAAUUGCACACUCCCCUCUGCUUCAGUGGUGGCCAAUGGUGUGCCAUUUUGGCAGAAGCAUAGGUGGCUACAGAGCACUCACCAGGCCAAGCUGAGCCUCAGAAGAGGGCCACGCAGCCCAGCAAGUGAGGGCAGACGGCCGUGGCGGCAGGGUGCCACCCCUAAGAGGUGGUAAGAAAGAGUAAUGCG